CCUACGGGAGGCAGCAGUGGGGAAUUUUGCGCAAUGGGCGAAAGCCUGACGCAGCAACGCCGCGUGAGUGAUGAAGGCUUUCGGGUCGUAAAGCUCUGUCGAGGGGAAAGAAGUGUAUUGUGGUUAAUACCCGCGAUACUUGACGGUACCCCUAAAGGAAGCACCGGCUAACUCCGUGCCAGCAGCCGCGGUAAU
rnacentral:rRNA from 1 species